rnacentral:rRNA from 1 species
AUGGUAGGAUAGAGGCCUACCAUGGUGGUAACGGGUAACGGGGUGUUAGGGCACGACACCGGAGAGGGAGCCUGAGAAACGGCUACCACAUCCAAGGAUGGCAGCAGGCGCGCAAAUUACCCAAUCCCGACACGGGGAGGUAGUGACAAUAAAUAACAAUACGGGGUUCUUUAGGAUCUCGUAAUUGGAAUGAGUACAAUUUAAAUCUCUUAACGAGGAACAAUUGGAGGGCAAGUCUGGUGCCAGCAGCCGCGGUAAUUCCAGCUCCAAUAGCGUAUAUUAAAGUUGUUGCAGUUAAAAAGCUCGUAGUUGAAUUUCGGGGUCAGUAGGUCGGUCGUGUCACUGGUAUGAACUGGUUUUACUGAUUCCUCCCUCUUGAAGAACUGUAAUGCCAUUAAUUUGGUGUUGCAGGGAAUCAGGACUGUUACUUUGAAAAAAUUAGAGUGUUUAAAGCAGGCUUUAGCUUGAAUACAUUAGCAUGGAAUAAUGAAAUAGGACGUUUGAUCCUAUUUUGUUGGUUUCUAGGAUUGACGUAAUGAUUAAUAGGGAUAGUUGGGGGCAUUAGUAUUCAAUUGUCAGAGGUGAAAUUCUUGGAUUUAUUGAAGACUAACUACUGCGAAAGCAUUUGCCAAGGAUGUUUUCAUUAAUCAAGAACGAAAGUUAGGGGAUCGAAGACGAUCAGAUACCGUCGUAGUCUUAACCAUAAACUAUGCCGACUAGGGAUCGGAUGAUGUUAAUUUUUUAAUGACUCAUUCGGCGCCUUACGGGAAACCAAAGUGUUUGGG